rnacentral:rRNA from 1 species
GAUGAACGCUGGCGGCGUGCCUAAUACAUGCAAGUCGAGCGAACGGACGAGAAGCUUGCUUCUCUGAUGUUAGCGGCGGACGGGUGAGUAACACGUGGAUAACCUACCUAUAAGACUGGGAUAACUUCGGGAAACCGUAGCUAAUACCGGAUAAUAUUUUGAACCGCAUGGUUCAAAAGUGAAAGACGGUCUUGCUGUCACUUUAGAUGGAUCCGCGCUGCAUUAGCUAGUUGGUAAGGUAACGGCUUACCAAGGCAACGAUGCAUAGCCGACCUGAGAGGGUGAUCGGCCACACUGGAACUGAGACACGGUCCAGACUCCUACGGGAGGCAGCAGUAGGGAAUCUUCCGCAAUGGGCGAAAGCCUGACGGAGCAACGCCGCGUGAGUGAUGAAGGUCUUCGGAUCGUAAAACUCUGUUAUUAGGGAAGAACAUAUGUGUAAGUAACUGUGCACAUCUUGACGGUACCUAAUCAGAAAGCCACGGCUAACUACGUG